AGUGUGAAGCAGACUGACUCACAGCUCGUCUGAACCGAACUGAUUCUUUUGAUGAUUGAUUCUGAACUGAUUCUGUGCUAGUGUUAUGAGCGCGGGUAAACCGAAGGCUUGAAUGAAGGGUAGUCAUCGCGAAUGACAUUACAUCGAGCGCAAAAGAACCGGUGAACCGUUUUUUUCAACUGGUUUUAUUUGAUCGAACUGUCCGAAAGAACCGGUUCACUUGAGCACCUGCUCCUUUGCCCCUUAAGUGCCCUUUUUUCAAAGCUAAAUUUCCUCGAAUUUUUUGUGUAAUAACAUUCCCUUUUGUGAAUGCCUGCCCACGCCCAAUCAUAAUAUUAGUACAAUUUAUUAAUAAUAAUUUAGCCGUAAAUAAAAUGACCAACAUGAUCACCUUACGACGACGACCUCAUCCGACCAGGCCGAUUCCUCACGCGCAUUUUUUAAUUGCUAAAGGAUAUUUUCAACACCACGGCAGCUGGUAAGUGGUGUUUCAUUCUCAGCGAAGUGAUUUUGAUGUUUAUUUACUUAUUAUUAUUUUACAAGAACGAUGUGAUGUGAGAACAUGCAGAUAUGUUGUUUAUAUUGCUGUUAACACUAGCGUGCUGUUUGAGGGAGAAAAGUUUCACAGGUGUUGAAGGGUCUGGUCUUUUUUAUGUUAUUUGACUAAACUAUUAUUAUAUUACAGUACUUAUUUAUUUUUUAACACAUGGAGUGCCUUAAAAAUAAUUAUCACAACACUGGUAAGGCUUAUUCAAAUUUUCUCAUUCUCUGAAUUAUCAUUAUAAAAAUAAAAACAAUUCAGAAAUGAAUUAAAAUAUAAUUAUAUUUUAAAUGUGACGCAAAUAUUUUUUUUCUACAAUAGCAACAGUGUUUACAACAGCAAGACCACUUUAGCCUGUAAACUCAAUAAUAUCUCUCUGGAAAUAAAUGUAAAAAUAUCAAUGUCAAUAAAAAAAUGCAUAAUAUACCUGACAUCAAAGUGCAGUGUGAGGGAUAUGAAUAACAAAUGUAGCCUGUCAUUUGUUUACAUUGCAAAGGUGUUCGAUUUUAGACAACAACAACUACAACAGUAUUAAUAAUAUGAAUCAAUAUAUUCCAGUGUAUCAGUUUUUUUAUGUUUUGUAUCAAUAUUUAAGGUGGACUUAUUGAUUAGCACCUGCCCCUUAAAGUUUGAGCAUAUUGUUUGCAAACUGCAAUUGAUUAAUUAAUUAAAAACAAAGUAGUUGAUAUGCUGUGUUGUUUUUGUUGUUUAGUAGCAGUAAUAUGCAGAUAUUAGCCGUGUCCACUGUAUUUUUUGUUGGUUUUCAUGAGACCCCCCUUGAAAUGACCAGGACCCCCCAUUGCCCCCCCAAUCAAAAUUGUCUGGAGCCGC